rnacentral:tRNA from 2 species
GCGCCCAUGGCUCAACUGGAUAGAGUACUUGACUACGAAUCAAGCGGUUGCAGGUUCGAAUCCUGCUGGGCGCA